UAUCAACUUUCAAUCGUAGUGUAGGGGACUACGAUGGUUGUAACGGGUACGGGGAAUUAGGGUUCGAUUCCGGAGAGGCAGCCUGAGAAACGGCUACCACUUCCAAGGAAGGCAGCAGGCGCGUAAAUUAUCCAAUCCCGAUUCGGGGAGAUAGUGACAAGAAAUACCGAUGUAGGGCCUUUUGGGUUCUACUAUCGGAAUGAGUACAACUUAAAACCAUUAGCGAGGAACAAUUGGAGGGCAAGUCUGGUGCCAGCAGCCGCGGUAAUUCCAGCUCCAAGAGUGUAUAUUAAAGUUGUUGCGGUUAAAAAGCUCGUAGUUGGACUUUGGGUAGGAGCACGAGGUCCCCCGCGGCGUGCCGUGGGGAUCGAGGCCGAGCGUUUCCCUCCCUGCUCUCGGAACGCCACGAUGGUAAAACAUCGGUUCCGUAGGGUUUACUUUGAAGAAAUUAGGGUGUUCAAAGCAGGCGAAUCGCCUUGAAUACAUUAGCAUGGGAUAAUGAAAGAUGACCUUUGGUCUAUACUUUAUUGGUUUCUAAGGCUUAGGUAAUGAUUAACAGGGACAGUUGGGGUCGCUUGUAUUCAGUGGUCAGAGGUGAAAUUCUAGGACCCACUGAGGACAAACAAAUGCGAAGGCAUUCGACAAGGAUGUUUUCAUUAAUCAAGAACGAAAGUUGUGGGAUCGAAGAUGAUCAGAUACCGUCGUAGUCACAACCGUAAACUAUGUCGACUUAGGAUUCGGGGAUGUUAAUAGAUGACUCUCCGGGCACUAUGUGCGAAAGCAUAAGUAUUCUGACUCCGGGGGGAGUAUGGUCGCAAGACUGAAACUUAAAGGAAUUGACGGAAGGACACCACCAGGAGUGGAACCUGCGGCUUAAUUUGACCCAACACGGGGAAACUCACCCGGUCCGGACACGACGAGGAUUGACAGAUUGAUAGCUCUUUCUUGAUUUUGUGGUAGCCGGUGCAUGGCCGUUUUUUAGUUGGUGGAGUGAUUUGUCUGGUUAAGUCCGAUAACGAACGAGACCUCAAUGUGCUAAAUAGUGUCGCUCACCGGCGGAUCUCCGCGGGCGUCGGCCGACGAGGCCGGUGCCCUCGGGGGUUCGCGUUAAGGUGUGGGCGAGCUAUUACUUCUUAGAGAGACAGUUGACACGUCUUUAUAGUCAAAGGAGGCUUGAGGCAAAAACAGGUCUGUGAUGCC
rnacentral:rRNA from 1 species